AUGGUCGUGGACAACAACUGCCAGGAGUUUUUCGUGGUUACCCUCUCAUAUCACCGAAAUCAGGAUCAGGCAAAUCAAAGAAUCCGGCCAAAGCUGCAGCUAAAUAUGGAGGAGCUGGAACUGGAGGAGGUGCACUUGGUCAAGGAGGCGCUUUAGGGGUUGGGGCUGGAAGACUUCCUGGAGGCGGAGCAGGGGUCACACCUGGAUCAGGAGUCGGGACUGGAGGUGGACCGGGAGCUGUACCUGGGUUUGGAACAGGAGUUGGAACAGGAGGCGGACCUGGUUUGGGUUACGGCCCUGGCUCAGCCAAAGCACGCAAAUAUGGUGAG